GACGAACGCUGGCGGCGUGCUUAACACAUGCAAGUCGAGCGGAAAGGCCCUUUCGGGGGUACUCGAGCGGCGAACGGGUGAGUAACACGUGAGUAAUCUGCCCUUCACUUGGGGAUAACUACCGGAAACGGUGGCUAAUACCCGAUAUGACCAAUCACUGCAUGGUGUGUAGGUGGAAAGUUUUUUCGGUGGGGGAUGUGCUCGCGGCCUAUCAGCUUGUUGGUGGGGUAAUGGCCUACCAAGGCUUCGACGGGUAGCCGGCCUGAGAGGGUGACCGGCCACGCUGGGACUGAGACACGGCCCAGACUCCUACGGGAGGCAGCAGUGGGGAAGAUUGGACAAUGGGCGAAAGCCUGAUCCAGCAACGCCGCGUGAGGGAUGACGGCCUUCGGGUUGUAAACCUCUUUCAGCGGGGACGAAGCGCCGGUAAUGGUGGUGACGGUACCCGCAGAAGAAGCACUGGCCAACUACGUGCCAGCCGCCGCGGUAA
rnacentral:rRNA from 1 species